GCCUGUCAUGAAGUCUGACCAGUGGAGUUCUUGAAUCUGUGUGUUGGGCCUUUCCAGUCUUGUGUUGGGCCUUUCCAGUGACUGCUUGUAUGAACAUUGAUGAAACAUUGCUGACUGUGUCUCCAGGUUAUGGAGGCAGGUCUGAUCACCAUGGCAGCUAACAUGACAGUCCAUCAGCAGGCGGCAGCCCCUUCUAUGAAAGGCUGGAAGACAGGCCUUUUUGACUCCUUUCAGGACAUGAGUAUCUGUUGCAAUGAAUUCUGGUGCUGUCCUUGCUAUGCCAGCUCCACCACAGGAGAGUUUGGAGAGAGUACCUAUCUGCCCUUAAUGGACAUCAUAGGCCCUGCAUUCAUGGCUGCUAUUGGGGUGCCCGUCAUUGUGCCACCCGCAAGUCUGUCCAUGCGGGUUGCUGUACGCCACAAAUAUGGCAUUCAGGGAAGCCUCUUUGAGGACAUCUUGGUGUCCUGCUUCUGUGCCUGUUGCUCAUGGUGUCAGAUGGCCAGGGAGAUCAAAGAGCACAAGAAGAGCUGCACUUUCACAACCACCCAGCCUGUGUCCAUCCAAGUGCAGCCUCCUAACAUGACCACUUCAAAUGUGUCCUACACAACCAAUCAACAGAGCUACACCAUGACCAGCCCACAGUCCCCCAACCAACAGGGCUACGUCAUAACCGGCCCACAGUCCCCCAACCAACAGAGCUACGUCAUGACCGGCCCACAGUCCCCCAACCAACAGGGCUACAUCAUGACCGGCCCACAGUCCCCACACCAACAGGGCUAUGUCAUGACCGACCCACAGUCCUCCAGCGGGGUUGAGAUGCCCCCUGAUAUGAUGGCAGGGCCCCCUGACAUGGUCAGAGGGGUCAUAUGAAGAUGGCAUCCGACCAACAUGCCAUUGCAGGCCUUUCUCAAAUGACGACUUCUGAUCCACCUGCCUAUAACCCUGCUGUUAUGAUGCUCCCUGUUAUGUCUAACCAUAUGGUGAACACCACGGUCUCCACCCAACCAUCCAAAUGCUGAGCUCUGCUGCUUCAUCUAAUCACUUUCUGAUAGCUUGCAUUGCUGUAAUGUUCACAAUCAAUGAAUUAAUUAGAUUGAUUAAAAUGUGUUUUUAUAUGAUUUAUAGUCUGAGGUUUAUUUGAUGGUAAUGUCCACUGCUCAUUGUCUUGACAUGUAAUAAAGUCAUUUAUAUUGUG